GGAGGCCGAGGCUGUAGGUGGGCUCCGCUGGGUAAAAGUUGCCGCAGCAGCUCUCCCUUGGCCCCAUCCCGAUUUAUUUUCCCCCCUUGCUUUCCGGGUCUCGGGAUCCCAAGUUUUGUAACUAACGGGAGCGAAUCCACACCCGAACAAAAUGUUUGCGAGUUUCAGGCGCCCUUAGUUGAAAGGCUGUAACGUUAUUAACAAGUCCGCUGUAUGCCAGCCAGGCGCCGUUGCAGGCGCUUUCUGUGGAUUGUCAUUUAUUUCUCACAGCAACCCUAGGAGAUGAAACUGAAUCAUAGGGGAAUGCCCUUUUCUGAGGAGUCAUCACCACUAGGGAGCUAUGGAGGCUGUUAUCCUUGACAUCUGCAGCAGCCCCUCCAAGCUGUGGAGACCAGGUCAUCUGGAAUGCCCAUUUAUGUCAAUGGAAGAAAGAAAAAGGGGUCCCUCCCAUUCUCACCACUGCAUUCUCCCACCAACCCUGCUCCUGUCCCAGUUCCCACAACUUAAUUGUUGACAAUUUAACAGUGGGUUUCUGGAAACAGUGCUGCCUCCUUGAUGUUCCAACUACCAGAGUUAUUCCAACAGCAGGAAUUUCAAGCCAGGUAAGGGGAGCCAUGUCAGGCUGCCAGAUGGUGGGGAAGACAGGUGUGGGUGAGCUGGCUUCAGACUAAAGGAAGAGGGGAUCAAGUGUUGGAAUCACAGUUGAGAAAAGGAGUCAAGUGAACUUCAUUACCCAUUAUAGAGGCCUGUUAUAUCCUUUAGUGCCAUUUGGACUUGGAUUGAACCUGUGACAAAUCCUUUUCUUAUGCUUCUUCCAUCCCUGCUUCCAUAUUAUAUCCUUUCCCCUUCUAAAAUGGUAAUAAUGAGAAAUAACUAUUACUAAUUACCCU
rnacentral:antisense_RNA from 1 species